UCGUUUUCUUCAUCUUUUCCAGUGAACAAAGCCAACACCGAGCACUCCUUCGGCCAGACUGUCCGAAACACACACACACAACUACCGUUCCACCCUCUCAUAUUUGUUGCUACCAUGGCUGGCCUGAAAUAUAGCAGAAAUAGUGACAGAACGUGAGAGGUUGCCAAUCAUCGAGCCGUCGAGGUCGUCCUUAUCUGUUCGAAGCUCAGUUGCCGGUUCGAGGUUCCAGGUUUUAGUUCUGGUCGAAAUUCUGUUUUCUAGGCUUGUUGUUCUUUCUCAUUGGAUCACAAAAUCAAUGGUUGUGUAUUCACUGAUUUCUUUCCACUGUUAUAUUGAAGAACUCUCUUAGCG
rnacentral:lncRNA from 1 species